AAGACCCUAUCAAACUUUACUUUAGUUUAACUGGGGCAGUUAAUUAAUAAAAAUUUUAAUAAAGAUUAAGUACUAAAUAGANNNCCCAACANUAGUUGAUUACANUGAACAAGUUACUGUAGGGAUAACAGCGUAAUAUAUGUCUAAAGUUCUUAUUUUGAUAUAAGUUUGCGACCUCGAUGUUGAAUUNAUAUUACUUUCAAGCGCAAGAGCCUGAAAAGUGGGUCUGUUCGACCCCUAAAUAUAUACAUGAUUUGAGUUCAAAUCGGUGUAAACCAGAUUGGUUUCUAUCUAUUNUUAUUUGUGUCUUAGUACGAAAGGACCUGAAACAAUAUUAUAUAAUNAUUUAUAUGGCAGAAAAAUGCUUUAGAUUUAGGAUCUAAUUAUAAUAGAUUAUUAUACUCUAUUUAACUUGCCUAAUCUCUGUUAUUAGAAUCCUUAUCGCAGUAGCUUUUUAUACCCUCCUAGAGCGAAAAAUUCUAAGCUACAU
rnacentral:rRNA from 1 species